CGGGGCUGGCGCGCGACGUGCUGGAGCGGGCGCGGCGGCGGAGGCGGCGGCCGGCGGGACGGCUCCCGGCCUCGGCCCCGGUCAGUGCUGCGGGGCGGCGGGGCGGGGGCGGCCGCGCCGGCGGGAAGGCGGCGAGAUAAAUAAGAAGCGCCGAGGAGCUGCGUCCGUAAACGGUGGCAGGACGGCUCGCGUCCUGCGGGGGCCUAGGGCGUGCGUGCGUGUACGUACCUGUGCGUGGGAGCGAGCCUUAGGCGUGCUUUGACGAGCUAGAGGCGUUUUAAAAGCCGUGGAACCGUUUCACGCUUGGUGGCUUCCCCCUGCGUUUUCCCUAGUCAAAGCCGGUGCGAAAGGGUCGAGGGCACCGACAGAGAAAUGGCCGGUGCUUCGCCGGACGGCGGAGUGGGGCGGUCGCUCCAUCCGGUGACCCCCGGGGGAAGCGAGUGCCUCGGUGCUCCUGGUGCGCGUUGCGGGCCUCGGGAGGCCGGCGUGCGCGCUGCCUUAAAACUGAAGCACCGCGGCGGCGGGCCACACGCGACUGCUUCACCCCGGAGACGGCCUCCGGCACUAGCGAGUGUUCUGCUGUUCAGUCACCGGACACUUUCUACCCCUAAGCAUCGAGCGCCACGUUAUGACUUACAAAAAAUGUCUUUAAUUGCAGGAAGAAGAUUCAGAACGUCUCAGUGCAGCAUUCGCUUCAAUUGUGAACUUGAUGAACCAAGCCACAAAGGAAUGCGAGAAGUACUAUAGCUUCAUGGCAGCCUGUAGAUGCAAAGAGCAUGAAAUCAAACACAUCUGCAGAUACCACAGCAGGCAAGCAGGGCAAAGAGAGCUAGAGUCCUCCCAAGAAGAGGUAAGUAGGUGGUUUUGGUUUUGAUUAAAGGUUAUUCCUUCCUUUGCCAUGGGACACUUGGUAUCCAUCUAGUGUCUGUGACGCUUACAGUAAUGUAUGUGGUUUAACAUCAUGGGCAUAUGAACACCUGGACUGAUCUGAGCCUUCUGUUGGGGGGCAGGGGAGGAGGCAGAAUAGCUCCUGGUGGCACCAAUCAGUGUCACAUCAGUCCUUUUGUGGAGGGGAAAAUUUCAAGGACAUAAAGCAUCCCCUCUCUCAGGGGCUGAAUUUGCCUUUUGUGUUGUAUCAUUAGAAAACAUAUCUUCUUCUUUCCAGAGGACGGAAGCCUCUGUAGCACUCAGUCAAGCUCAAACUUGCGAGCAACACGUAAGUUUAUAGAAUACUUUGUUCUUAAAUCGAGGUAUAGCAUUUCUUUAUCAUCAAGCUGGUUAAAAUUGGUGAUCAGAUGUGGAGACUUCAUGAUGGCACAGAAGAUUAACCAGUGGUGCAUUCACAGUCCUAAUGUACAUAUAGGUGGGCAGUAGAAUGAGCAUACAGAGACUUGCACAAUUAAUUGCAAACCAGAUUUUGGCAUUCUGGCAUAUAACCAGUUAAGAGUCUACUUUAUAUUUUGGACUGAUACAGAAUGUCAAACACUGUGAUUAAUCUUUCGGCUCUUGUGAAUUGCAUCAGCAACAAUAAUGCAGCACUUCUCCAGUCUCACCUCAUUUGUGCUCCUGACGCAUUCCCCGUGCUGAGGAAAGGCAGGCAGCAAGGCACUUGGCAGUUGCUUAGCCAGUUAUGUAUGUUUGGCCCUCAUACAGUCUCUCUGAAGACUCCUGUUCCUCAAGGAGAAGGAAACUUUAUUUUUCAAAGCCUAGCACCUCACCAAAUCAAUUUCAGGAACUUCUGAGCCACAAAAGAUGAGAAACAUGGAAUCUAUACCACAGUACAAGUCAGUGGGAGCACCAUUGUUGUAUGGAUGUUUUCCAGGUGUAUGUUCAAAACCAUUUAGGUUGGUAACUUUCAGUUUUGUGAAGCAGAGAUUACAGCAUGUUGAUUAUUUCCAUUGAUUGAAACAUUAGAUGAAAUACUUUGAGUACGGCACUUGCUCAUUUUUGUACUGACAGAAACAUUUUACAGUUUUGUCCAUGCUGCCUGUAUAUUUUGAAAAAAUCUUAGUACGUUUAUAUAGUAGCUGAAAUGUAGGGGGUUUUACCCAAAUUCAAAGUUUUUAUUUUUGUGGGAAAUCUAAGAUGACUAAACAGUAAUGAAACUUUUUUUCCCCCCUCUAAAGACCAGACAAGCUUCCGAAGACAUCUACAUUGAAGUUUCUCCUGGCACCUAUUCUGUCACAGCAACCUCAGAGGACAUGGUGCAGCAAACCCAUGUGGUGGAUGUCAACGCAGGACAAAGUUAUGAUUUAACUUUUGUUCUAUGAAGUUUGUUAUUUCUCGGCAAUCACAGGAAUAAAAUACAAGGCUGUUUUAAUGCAUGUCAUGAACUAUGUAUAUCUUUUUCUUGUUAGCACUUUAAUAGUAUCCUCUUUGGGACUCCAUUUUUAUGGCCUGUAUAUUUGUUUUCUACUUAAUGCAGUUAUAUGCAGCCCACUUUGUACACUGAUUUUAUAAAUAUUUGUACAUUGUGUGCCUUAAAUCCAAUUAUGUGACUCCAGUUCCAGGUUCUUAUGCUUUAAACAAUUAAGAUACAAUCAGUGGAAUAAAAGACAUAAUUUAGUCUUUGUGAUGACAGCUUCUUUUUUAUUAUCCUCAGACAGAGUGUCCAUGUCACAUUCUUGAGCACAGACAGCAUGAUCGUGUGGUAUGAAUAUGGAUGUACAUUAGCUUCUGUGGGCUGGCACUGAUUUUAAAGCAUUUGGCUCACAAUGCAUCUCUCCUAUCUGUACUUUUAUUAUUCUGAUAAAGAAAUAAAAUGCAAAUGAAAUUCACUAUCUAUCUAGGACCCCAACUCAGGAAGGUGCUUGAGUGUGUGUCAGAUGUUCAGUAUAGGCACAUAAACUAUUGAUACUUCAAGUACUGUCUCUUUGCAGGCUCUUACCUAGACUAAACACCAGUUAGCUGCCUUCUUCCAUAGGCUGUAGGUUACCCUGAAUUGUUUGCUGUUUCAUGCAAGGGAAAAGUACUGCUGAGCAACUGCACACUGCAGCUUUUGGCCAAGUUCAUACACUCCAAACAUGAGCAGUCCUAUUAAUGAGACUCCAUGGAUGCUUAACUCUCCCAAAGGAUCAGAUUCCAUCCACAGUUAGAAUUAGUGACAUGACCUAUAUAUAUCUCUAAUCUUUUUGUAGCUGAUGGGAUUAAGGUUUCAGUUAAUUUUCAUGGGAAUACAAAAUUCAGUGAGUUGAAUGCUGGAUCUCUAAGCACGUUGUUGUUUCUAUCUACAGUAGCAGGUCCCUUACCCUCUGGCUACUUUCUCUUCUGCUUUAAUCCUGAAAUAUUUUCAGCUGUCAGCUUGUAUUGUUUCUCCAUUCCUUCUGGCUUUCUACAAAAAGAAAUUGCUAUGCUAAAUUCCUCUGGCUGACUCAAGAGAACUGUAGACAAACUGGAGGUUUGUAGAGCCUUGCUGUGCAUCUGUUCAGGCUUUUAAUGCUCGCACUAGAUUACCUGAUCUCUCCAGAAUUGUAAAGUCAAGUCCAAAUAAUUAGGAAUUUGAUACAACACCUUGGAGUAAAGAAUGAGGAUGCUGAAAUUCAAUGUGUGUAGAAACAGUGUUUCUCAGUUAUUAAAAUCAUACAGUUAUCCAUAAGAUAUUCUACAGAGACAGUACCCAAAUCAGAAUUUGAUUUGCUUAAUAAACGUAACACUGAUACAGUCUAAGCAGUUUACCUGAAAUUUCAGCUCCUGAACUUCAUCAGUUGUCCAUUUAUUGAAUUCUGUGUUGAUCGUGUCUCUCCCUCUCCUUUGUUGCAAGUGAGCUCUUCGUUGUUUUUUUUGUCUGUCCUCUUCUGACAUGGUCUGUAUCGUCAAGUUUGUUGCCUUCUGUGCAAGUCACUUUACAGUUAUCAUCCGACUCUGUCUUCUUCCUUGCUGUUUUAUAUCUUUGUUUUUCUGAUGCUGCAAAACCUUCUUCCUGGAGGACAGAAAACAAAUCCCUUGGAAGUCUAACCUAAAAAAAAGCAUCAGUGUCUU
ensembl:lncRNA